CCGCCCACUUCAGCCUCCCAAAGUGAUGGGAUUACAGCUGUGAGCCACCGUGCCUGGCCCCUUACUGUUUCUUUAUACAUCAUUGUGAUUCCAACAGUUUCUGAGUCUCAAAGAUAUGCUCCCAUGUAGCCUCAUACAACAGCAUAGGGCACUUGCAUGUUCCAAAAAACUUAAAUGCAAUAAAAGCAAAUGGUGCCUACCCUCCCCAUGGGGUCUCUGUAUUUCCCAGGCUCUGAAAUACACUGACUGAGAGAAAUGUGCGAACUUCAUACCUGGUCUGAGAUUUACCCUGAGAUGACUCUUGCCUAGAAAAGAAAAAGAGUUUUCUCUUCAGCAUCUCUGGGAUUAGAACUAUUAGCAAACUUAUAAUUUUCUUUCCUCACUUACUGAGCUCUAGUAUUAUCUUGAUUGCAAAGAAAGCAUCCAGACAACUUCCCAUUUCCUCCUUGCUUCACCCCGUGAACACAACUGCUUCUCUUCAGCAGCCCCAAAUGGAAAUUAUUCAGUGUCUUAUGUGAAAUUGAAAAUAUUUUUAAAAAGACAAUUGCAAUGUUAGUGUAUUGUGGAUGAUACUCUACAAGAAAAGCCUGAGCAAUGUUGGAGUGUCACAGCCACAGAGGGGCACAUCAACCUGAUACAAGAGAAAUGGAGCGAGGAGAGGUGACUGUCUCAGGGGAGUGAUAGUCUUUCUGGGGAGGAAUUCUCAAACCCAAGUCCUUGUUUUGUUUUGCUUUUCCUUGGCAAUGAGAUUAUCUUGGAGGUAAAAUUGUGUAAAUGUGGACAACUGAGUAAAGGCAAACUACACAGAGAGUAGUGGAAAUAAGGAAUGGGAGAGGUGGAAAAGUAAAAGUAAACACAUGCUAAUGAUUCAGUGUUAAUUUUGUCAGGUUAAAUCACAGAAUUUGGAAAGAAAAAGGGCAUCCAACAGCCUUAAAGAUGAAGAAAUGGAAGCUCCAGAGUUGAAGAAAUGUGUCUUCACUCCCACAAGUAAUCUUGAAGUUCCGAGCCACCAUGAGAGUUUUCCUGACACUGAGGUAAUUUCCUACCAUGUUGACACCACCUUGCGCCAGUGUUCAAGACCAUCACAGCUAUGAACCUUGUUGGCUUGUAUCAGAUGCCUGCUGGGACCUUGGCUGCCCAUAGUGCUCUCUAAAGACUCCAGCUUUCCAUAACUCCUACAGUUUUAAGUUCAAGGAAUGAUGAAGAGGACGCCAAUGUACGGAUUUGAUUUACCAAAUCAGGCCUGUACAGCAGCUGAAUCAACCUAUGGGAAAAUUUUGGCUCUCUUUAACAUUCUAAUUUUUGAGAACACCAUUGCAAAUACAUGAUUUCCAAAAUAAUAACAAUGCACUUAAUUAAUCACAUUAUAGAUCAUCAUAUAAAAAUAAAUACCUAAAUAGAAAUACAAUUUAUUUUUUUCUUAAAUUCCAAAUUGCAUAGAGCUGCCUCCUCUGCAGUUUUCCAUCACUGCCUCCUUCUCAGACUUCUCCUUUUGUUUUUUCAUUUCUUUGUACAGACUCCAGUCAUUUGUUUAAAUAUUCAUACUCAACCAGAAUACGUUUCCUAAUGUGGGAAUCAUUGCUUAUUCACAGGCACAGCCCUUGACAUCCUGAAAACAUGUAGUAAUGAUUUUUGGAAUAAAGGUUUGACACUUCUACAUUUACAUGUAAAUGGAGUUAAAAAAUUCUAGGUUGAGAAUAAGAAUACUAUAAAAAUUUUGAUCUAAAAUGGAUGUUAGAGAUAACCCAGCGCAACCAGUUGCUCUUACAAUUGAGGAAACUGAGGUCAAGAAUGAGUGAGUGGCUCAGAGUCACCCAGCUCAUUAGAGCCUGAAUGAACCACCUUGGUUCACUACCUCUGUUCACCGCCCUUUCUAGUGCACUUCAUGAAAUCACUCUCUAAGUACACAUCAACUCAUUUAGAUACUUAAAUGAUUCUUGAGAAAGUAGAAAGUAUAAAUGCCUUGACCACACAUAAGAACUUUGACAUAUUUCACUCUCUGUACUGAAAUUUCUAACAAUGCCUGGUACAUAAUAGGUAUUCAGUUGAUUUGGGUUUCUACAUCCCUUUUCUCCUUCUCUUCUUCAAGUUUGCAUGUAAACCACAUUAAAGACUGCUAAUAUAUAAAGUAGGCACCAUCUCAUGAAUCAAAGAGGGGAUUCCUAGAGCCACUGAGGAUGUCUUUAGAAGCCAGUGGUGCUGAUCCCACAGCUACUCUCCUGUGGACAGUGGAAGUGCUCCCCAAAGUACAUUCUUAGGGGAAAUGGGGCUGCCGCCAUGAGGAGGUGUCAAUAGAGAUUAGAGAUGGUCUUUGUGCUGUGAGAGAGACCUCACAUUUCCAAAUGCCAAGUCCUUUCUUCCUCAGUCAAAUGUACCCCCUAGAACAUAGAUACCUACUAAGCUGUAGAUUUUUGAGGGGAUACAGAGCUGAAUCCAUAAGAUAGUGGAUUAUUCAGAUAAGAAUUUCUGUAGAUAGAGAGUUUCCAAUCAAUUAUGUACCCCAACAAUGUGAGGUCAACUACUUAGACUACCUCUUAGCUUCUACAUUUAGAUGUUUCAAAGUCUGUUCUGAUCCUUAAAUUUGACACUUCUCUUUAAUAUAAACAAAGCCCUUUUAGUAUUCUUUGGGAUUAGCUUACCACUUAAUAAAUUCCUUCCAACACUAUCUUCUGUGAGUCAACAAACAGCUUCCUCCUGUGAUUUGGGCCUGGCUAACAACAAGUUAGACUUCAGACGAAUAAUUACUAGGCUGAGGCAUUUUCCAGGUGGUACAUUCCCACUUUGAGGAAACUUGGUCAUUUUACUUUUGCAUUUAAGAUGUCCUUAGGCUGAAAAUAAAGUGUCAGUGUUUGAAAUGUCCUUCUCUGUAUCAUUGACUUGAUUUUUAGAUAAUAUUUCAGGCUGGACUGACACCAAAAGUGCUUUUCAAAAACACAUGAAAAGACCAAAAUUAUUUAAAUAAUUUACAAUAUAUGAAAGGUAGUAAAUUCUAGGCAAACAUUUUAACUAGGUUUUUAUGGAGAACUGACAGUGAGUAGCUUUGUGCUGAACCCUGUGUAAGGCAUUAAAUGAUGCACUCGUGUAAUUAUUUUCCCUAAAUUAAUGCCUGUCCCUGACACAUCUUAGACUUUUCCACCCUUGCCCUAAAUAACUUAAUUAAAAAAAAAAAUUCUCCCAGCUAA
rnacentral:lncRNA from 1 species